rnacentral:rRNA from 1 species
CAGCAGCCGCGGGAAUACGUAGGUGGCAAGCGCUGUCCGGAAUUAUUGGGCGUAAAGGGCUCGCAGGCGGUUUCUUAAGUCUGAUGUGAAAGCCCCCGGCUCAACCGGGGAGGGUCAUUGGAAACUGGGAAACUUGAGUGCAGAAGAGGAGAGUGGAAUUCCACGUGUAGCGGUGAAAUGCGUAGAGAUGUGGAGGAACACCAGUGGCGAAGGCGACUCUCUGGUCUGUAACUGACGCUGAGGAGCGAAAGCGUGGGGAGCGAACAGGAUUAGAUACCCCAGUAGUCCCUGUCUCUUAUAC